rnacentral:lncRNA from 1 species
CAGUAGAAAACAGAUGAAUACACCUAGAUUUCUUCCUGCGUGAAUCCAGUUGAGGGGAAGGUAUAAAAUUUUCAAAUGGAGGAGUAUACCUGAACCUAAUCAUGGAUGUGAUUUUAUGUAAGUAAUAUGUGAGAUACAGAUAAGCUGAUUCUAAAACUUACAAGAAUGGCAAAGAAACAAGAAGAGCUUAAACUGCAAUCAUCAACAGAGAAGCUUUCUGCAACCAAAGUGAAGACUGAAGCCUUAGGCUAUGGCAGAAGUUGGGCGCCUGAAGUACACGUGGAAAUAUGCCAACUGAACAUUGGACUACCACGUCAAGGGUCUCCUACCCCUGGGCCAUGGAUCAAUACCAGUCUGUGACCUGUUAGGAACCGGUAGCAGGAGCGCCUGCCCCUGGCUCAGCGCCCGGUGCCAACAGAACACCUUUCAGGAUCCACAGCAACGCAGACAACAAUCCCGGCCUCUGCUUGGAACGGAACAGUGU